CUGAGCACUAUUUUGUUGGUGUACUUCAUAUAUUGGCAAAGCAUUCCCAGAAGAGACCUCAAGCUACAAGAUAAAUGUGGUGAAAUAGAGAUGGGGCAGGGAGAUAUGACAGGCAAAAAGGAAUGGAAGAGGUAAAACAAGAUCAUUUUUUUUUCUUUCAUCAUGAUGGAAUUAUCCCUUGGAGAUGAUCUGAGCAAACAUCCUCUGGCAAAUCUAUUGCAAUUACCUGAAGACGCUACAGUCCCUAUUUGUCCACCCCUGUGUUCUGCCCAACUCGGGGGCACAGGAGAGCAUGUGCUAAUCUUCAGCCAUUCAGACUCACAGCCUGCCUCGCUGAAAGCCCACAGAAAUCAAAGCUGGUCUGCUAACACGAUGCAUUGCAAUAGUGGAAGCAUAAGACACGCCAGCUUGUAGAAACAGUGAACUGCAGCAGAAAGGUGGGAUGGAGUAGUGGCGUUAGUCCAUUUAUUUUAAUUAAAGAUGCCGUAAUUACACUGAAAGGACUGGGAAAUUUUUCCAGAAGGCAUAUAGUUGGGAUGUAGAUCAACUAUGUAAACUAGGGGCACUCAUUCUAGGGGGCUGGUCACGAAACAAUAGGUGUUACCUGAAGUUUAUGCAAGCCUCAGUAUCAAUUGCUGUGUUCUGUAUCAAAGUUAUAUGUUCAAAAGGGAAAAAUACGGGUUUGUUACGCAUCAACCACUACUAAAAAUUAAAUGCUAUAUAUUAUACCAACGUCAAUAUAGAAAUCAAUCUUGAAUUCCAGUCUGUCUCAAUGCCUGUCGUACAAAUUGCGUGCCUAGCUCUGCUGCAAAUCACUAUAUCAAAAUGUUUAUUGACCGCACAGUAAUGAGUAACACGUAUGAAAAUAUCAUUUAGGCGAAUGAAUAUUCAUCUUCUCUAAUAUGUCAGAUCCAGGAAUGUGUGCUCAAGGUCACCGAGCGUAUUUCAUAAACGCCUGGGAAAAUGUUUCCAAAUUUGCGAGGGGUUUCCAGACAGAUGACUCCUGUCAGCAUAUGUGCCCGGACCGCUCGGAGGGGCAGCAGUUCCUCACCUAACUUCGCUCCCCUUAAGUCUUCUGUAGACCGAGUGCAGCUUUCCCUAUUCCGCGCAUUUUCUCAACGCGGAGCCCAGCGAGGCUCUGCGAGGACAGCAGUGAGGUAGGGAGGGCCGGCACUGGGGAGCUGCCCCGCGGGCACCCCUCCUCUUUCCGAGGGACAGCUCACAGCCUCAGCUCUCCACCGGUUGCUUUUCUCUCCCGUUCCCUCUCUUAAAAAAAAAACAAUAGAAGCAGGUGACUACCCCCUCAUACGUAAAUGCCAGCGCUCCCUAUAUGACGAAGGCAGAGGUCCUCCUCCCGGAGCCGCUUUCCCUCAGCCUGCCGCCGCUGCGGUCGCAGUGGUCUUCCCCAGCCUCCCCCUCCCCUCCCCGUUCUGCUGUUGAUUUCUAACCGGGUUACGAUGACCCGGGCAGCGGGCGGGAGGGAGCGCGGGGAGAAUCUCCCUAGCAGCACUUUCCUCGAUUUUUUUUUUUUUUAAUUAUUUUCUUCCUUUAUUUUCGUCUUUUUUCUCGCUUCGAGGAGGCCGUGACCCCCCACAUCCCUUCUCC
ensembl:lncRNA